rnacentral:rRNA from 1 species
UCAACCGGGGAGGGUCAUUGGAAACUGGGGAACUUGAGUGCAGAAGAGGAGAGUGGAAUUCCACGUGUAGCGGUGAAAUGCGUAGAGAUGUGGAGGAACACCAGUGGCGAAGGUGACUUUUUGGUUUGUAACUGACGGUGAGGAGCGANAGCGUGGGGAGCGAACAGGAUUAGAUACCCUGGUAGUUCACGCCGUAAACGAUGAGUGCUAAGUGUUAGGGGGUUUCCGCCCCUUAGUGCUGCAGCUAACGCAUUAAGCACUCCGCCUGGGGAGUACGGUUGCAAGACUGAAACUCAAAGGAAUUGACGGGGGCCCGCACAAGCGGUGGAGCAUGUGGUUUAAUUCGAAGCAACGAGAAGAACCUUACCAGGUCUUGACAUCCUCUGACAAUCCUAGAGAUAGGACGUCCCCUUCGGGGGCAGAGUGACAGGUGGUGCAUGGUCGUCGUCAGUUCGUGUCGUGAGAUGUUGGCUUAAGUCCCGCAAAGAAGCGCAACCUUUGAUCUUAGUUGCCAGCAUUCAGUUGGGCACUCUAAGGUGACUGCCGGUGACAAACCGGAGGAAGGUGGGGAUGACGUCAAAUCAUCAUGCCCCUUAUGACCUGGGCUACACACGUGCUACAAUGGACAGAACAAAGGGCAGCGAAACCGCGAGGUUAAGCCAAUCCCACAAAUCUGUUCUCAGUUCGGAUCGCAGUCUGCAACUCGACUG